rnacentral:rRNA from 1 species
CGAACGCUGGCGGCAUGGCUAAAACAUGCAAGUCGAGCGCGAAAGCCAUUUCGGUGGCAAGUAGAGCGGCGAAAGGACGAGUAAUGCGUUCCUACGUACCCCGAGGUCAGGGAUAGCCCAGGGAAACUUGGAUUAAUACCUGAUGUGGUGCUUCGGCAUCAAAGGCUUGCCGCCUCGGGAGCGGGGAACGUCCUAUCAGGUUGUUGGUGAGGUAAAAGCUCACCAAGCCUUAGACGGGUAGCGGGUGUGAGAGCAUGACCCGCCGUAUCGGGACUGAGACACUGCCCGGACUCCUACGGGAGGCUGCAGUAACGAAUCUUCCGCAAUGCGCGAAAGCGUGACGGAGCAAUGCCGCGUGCAGGAUGAAUCCCCUCGGGGUGUAAACUGCUGUCAGGGUUUAGCAACACAAUGAGCAGACCCAAAGGAAGGGCCGGCUAACUUC